rnacentral:rRNA from 1 species
GACGAACGCUGGCGGCGUGCUUAACACAUGCAAGUCGAACGGAAAGGCCCUGCUUUUGUGGGGCGCUCGAGUGGCGAACGGGUGUGUAACACGUGAGUAACCUGCCCCUGACUUUGGGAUAACUUCAGGAAACUGGGGCUAAUACCGGAUAGGAGCUCCUGCUGCAUGGUGGGGGUUGGAAAGUUUCGGCGGUUGGGGAUGGACUCGCGGCUUAUCAGCUUGUUGGUGGGGUAGUGGCUUACCAAGGCUUUGACGGGUAGCCGGCCUGAGAGGGUGACCGGCCACAUUGGGACUGAGAUACGGCCCAGACUCCUACGGGAGGCAGCAGUGGGGAAUAUUGCACAAUGGGCGGAGGCCUGAUGCGGCAACGCCGCGUGCGGGAUAACGGCCUUCGGGUUGUAAACCGCUUUGGCCUGUGACGAGGCGUGAGUGACGGUAAUGAGUAAAGAAGCACCGGCUAACUACGUG